rnacentral:misc_RNA from 1 species
UUUCCGUAGGUGAACCUGCGGAAGGAUCAUUACAGAGUUCAUGCCCUCACGGGUAGAUCUCCCACCCUUGAAUAUCUCUACCUUACUUGCUUUGGCAGGCCGUGGAAACACCAUGGGCUCCGGCUUAUGCGUGCCUGCCAGAGGAAACAAACUCUGUUUUUAGUGAUGUCUGAGUACUAUAUAAUAGUUAAAACUUUCAACAACGGAUCUCUUGGUUCUG